AUGUGGUUUAAUUCGAUGAUACGCGAGGAACCUUACCUGGGCUCAAAUGUAUGUUGACGUAUUCUGAAAGGGAUACUUCUUCGGACAAUAUACAAGGUGCUGCAUGGUUGUCGUCAGCUCGUGCCGUGAGGUGUCGGGUUAAGUCCCAUAACGAGCGCAACCCCUAUCAUUAGUUGCCAUCAGGUCAAGCUGGGGACUCUAAUGAAACUGCCUACGCAAGUAGUGAGGAAGGUGGGGAUGACGUCAAAUCAGCACGGCCCUUACGUCCAGGGCUACACACGUGCUACAAUGGCCGGUACAAAGGGCAGCUACCUGGUGACAGGAUGCUAAUCUCAAAAGCCGGUCUCAGUUCGGAUCGGAGUCUGCAACCCGACUCCGUGAAGCUGGAGUCGCUAGUAAUCGCGCAUCAGCCAUGGCGCGGUGAAUACGUUCCCGGGCCUU
rnacentral:rRNA from 1 species